rnacentral:tRNA from 1 species
UUCGGCGUCGUCCAGCAGGCGGUGGUGGCGAGUUUCGGAUUGGCGGUGGCGGCCGGGGCGCUCAUCCUGGCGCUGGGG